UCACAGCAAGAAUGCACCAGUGAUGGCCCCUCACAGGAAGGUGGUGACACUGGUGGUGCUGAUCGCCCC
ensembl:miRNA